GCCGGAGUGGCGGAAUUUGGUAAACGCGCUCGACUGAAGAUUGAGCAGCACCCCCAAGUGCUAUGCGGGUUCAAACGUCAUAGGCUGGGUGACUGAAUAUCCCGCCUCCGGCG
rnacentral:tRNA from 1 species